rnacentral:rRNA from 1 species
GAUGAACGCUGGCGGCGUGCCUAAUACAUGCAAGUCGAGCGAACAGACGAGGAGCUUUCUCCUCUGACGUUAGCGGCGGACGGGUGAGUAACACGUGGAUAACCUACCUAUAAGACUGGGAUAACUUCGGGAAACCGGAGCUAAUACCGGAUAAUAUAUUGAACCGCAUGGUUCAAUAGUGAAAGACGGUUUUGCUGUCACUUAUAGAUGGAUCCGCGCCGCAUUAGCUAGUUGGUAAGGUAACGGCUUACCAAGGCAACGAUGCGUAGCCGACCUGAGAGGGUGAUCGGCCACACUGGAACUGAGACACGGUCCAGACUCCUACGGGAGGCGGCAGUAGGGAAUCUUCCGCAAUGGGCGAAAGCUUGACGGAGCAACGCCGCGUGAGUGAUGAAGGUCUUCGGAUCGUAAAACUCUGUUAUUAGGGAAGAACAAAUGUGUAAGUAACUAUGCACGUCUUGACGGUACCUAAUCAGAAAGCCACGGCUAACUACGUG